rnacentral:rRNA from 1 species
AGGGGUAGAGAGGGCCUAAAAUGCAUGUCGAGCGAUGUACGCGUAUAGCUUGCUCUCUGGUGACGAGCGGCGGAGGGAGAAGAGAGUCUGGGAAACUGCCUGAUGGAGGGGGAUAACUACUGUAAAAAAGUAGCUAAUACCGCAUGACCUCGCAAGAGCAAAGUGGGGGACCUUCGGGCCUCCGCCUCGGAUGUGCCCUCUUAAUUCUA